rnacentral:rRNA from 1 species
CCUACGGGAGGCAGCAGUGAGGAAUAUUGGUCAAUGGACGAGAGUCUGAACCAGCCAAGUAGCGUGAAGGAUGACUGCCCUAUGGGUUGUAAACUUCUUUUAUAUGGGAAUAAAAUGUUCCACGUGUGGGAUUUUGUAUGUACCAUAUGAAUAAGGAUCGGCUAACUCCGUGCCAGCAGCCGCGGUAAUACGGAGGAUCCGAGCGUUAUCCGGUUUUAUUGGGUUUAAAGGGGGCGUAGGUGGAUUGUUAAGUCAGUUGUGAAAGUUUGCGGCUCAACCGUAAAAUUGCAGUUGAAACUGGCAGUCUUGAGUACAGUAGAGGUGGGCGGAAUUCGUGGUGUAGCGGUGAAAUGCUUAGAUAGCACGAAGAACUCCGAUUGCGAAGGCAGUUCACUGGACUGCAACUGACACUGAGGCUCGAAAGUGUGGGUAUCAAACAGGAUUAGAUACCCUUGUAGUC